rnacentral:lncRNA from 1 species
GUUGCUAGAAUCAAUAAGUGUUCAAAUCGUUUACUCGAAUAAAGUGAAAUAAUUUUCUCCUAAACUUUGGCUCUCUCAUAAAUAAAAUUUUAAUUUUAACUUUUUUAAAUAAAAUAUACUUUUGACCUUCAACUACGAAACCUAUGAUUUUUUGGUUCUUAAACUUAAAUUUAUUUUAAUUUUUAGCUUAAAUUUUUUAAAUUAUUAUAAUCAAGUCCCACAAACUAAUUUAGUUAGCUAAAUAUUGAUAAAUUAUUAAUGUAAAACUGAUAUGAAAAUACUGCAAUUUUGAUUCGACAAUAAUUAAAAUGUUAUAUCACUUCUAUAUCUGUAAUUUGUCAACAUUUAGUUAACUAAAUUAGAUUGUAGGAUUUGAUUGUAAUAAUCAAUAUGUUCAAUUCAGAAAUUAUUAUAAAUUAGAAUUUGAGAACCAAAGUAUUAUGCGCCUUUUAGUUUAAAGGUGCAAUUUAACCUUUUU